rnacentral:lncRNA from 1 species
CCCGAGCGGGCGCUGCGCCAAAUGGCGGCGGGGGGGAGGUGGCGGCGGGGGGGGGGAGCAGUGGCGGUCGACGCACGGAGCCCCCUCCCCACAUGUCGCCACCCCACACACACACCCCCGCCAUUACGCAGCGGGCUGGGGUUGGGGUCCGUGCCUGCAUGGCACGGGGAAAGGCUCAGGAACGCCCCCCCCCCGCCUAAUGAAAGCCCCGAGGGUGCCGCUCGGUGCCCCCCCCGCCCAGCCGGGGCGCCCCCCGGUACGAGCGGGGAAGCCCCCGCCGCCCUCCCCCGCUCGUCGCCGGCCGCAGCCGUGUGGCAACGGUGCCCCCUGCCGGGCAGCCGGCCCUCCCCGUGGGGGGAGACACGGUUUGGUCGAGCUUGAGGGGGUGUUUUGGGGGGUAGGGGGUGUUAAGGUGUGUGCGGUGGGGGCAGCGCGACACCGGGGGGAGGAAGCAAAGGUUGCGAGGUGCAACCCAGAAGGUCCCGCUGACCCUGCUGGAGACACUGCUGGUGUCGGAUGGAAUAAAGCACUGAGUUGCAGACUUAAGAAGAAAAAUAGGCAGAAGCUCGCUCAUGCUGAAGAAUACUGCUCUGGUAAAGGCCACGCGAGCGUAGUUCAGAGGAAGCCGUUCACACCGGGCAGCUUCGCUGAAGGAGCAACGCCAGCCAAGCCUGCUGUGAGCACCUGCAGAUCACAUCCCACUCACUUGAAGCAGGAGGGGAAAUUGUUUCCAGUCAGAAUUGUAGCAUGGACACUUUUUCAGUUCAGAAAAGUACACAGGAUGUUGAUCAUCGUGCCUUUUUUAGUAUAAAUUAAAAACUAUUUGAAUCAGUGUGAAAUUAUUUUCAUGUCUGGGGUAUACUUCAGGGUACAGGUGUAUUCUGUACUUGCUGCUCUUAAGCCAACUCGAAUGUGAAAGCCCACAUUACUUUAAAUCAGUAGAAAUAAUUGAGAAUUGUAGUAGGAAAUUUAAUUAGGGUGUGUUAUGUUAUAAGAACUAUAGAAAUAUUUGCAUGAGUUUCAGGAAUCACUCAUUAUGACUGAUGCUGGUAAUGCUGUUGCUAUUAAAAGCAUUAAUUCAGUUUAUGAACAUGCUGUGUCUCUUUAAUGACAAAUAUGUAUUUUGGAAGGAAAAGUUUUCAUUGGUGUUUUUUUUUUUUUAUUGAAAUUGUGAGCAGAAAUUCUUUGACAGAAUUUGGAUGGGGUUACUCACACAAGCUGUUUGAAUUGCCCAUGCAAUUAAUGGGAAGGUAAGAUGUGCGGUGUGAACCAUGCCUUUCUGUGGGCCCGCACAAUAUCGUUCAAUUACUCCCUUCACCCCACCAAUACUCUCCAUCCGGCUGCAGAAAAAUUAAGAUUAAUAACACCAAGUGUGUUUCUGUAUGCAUUUGUGUGUAUUUGGCUAAUAAAUUCUUCAGCGUGAGUUGUUCA